rnacentral:tRNA from 1 species
UUAAUUGAAGCCAAAAUAGAGGCAUAUCACUGUUAAUGAUAAGAUUGAAUAUUAAUUCCAAUUAAG